UGCUUAUUUGAGAAUAACUUGCCUUACCCUGCUUCCUAUUUUAGGUUCUCAAGUACUUGCUUUCUAUAGCCAGAGACUAAGAAUUCAAAAAAGUUGAACCGAGUAAUUUGAUGCUUGAAUAACACAUGGUAGUAUUAUCCGUUUGAAUGAUUUUGUAUGUUGUAUGUGAUUUAUGUUCAUGAUCCUGAUCCUGACUUUAUAUGAUUAUGCAUAUGUUAUAUGUGAUACCUUGAACGUGAUUAGGUAUAUGUUAUACAAAAUACCAUGAGCUAAAAUGUUGAUCAAGUAUUAUGAAGUCAUUGAAUGUAUAAAAAUGUUACGGUGCAUCAUAUCACUUUACUAAUGGUUUAAAAUUGUGAGCGUGCAUAACCAUAGUAACUUGGGGGUGCAUCAAUGGACAUGCUUAGUGAGUCCACGUGCAUGAUGUAUGCGAGCAAGAAUUAUUAUGCAUGCAACCGUGUCUAGAAAUGAAGGUAGAGUUCAACAACAAUCAUGAAUUUAGGUUUCAACAGUCAUGAUAUUUGUUUUAUGAUAUAUGUUUUAUGUGUUGAGCAGUAAUUUAAUAUUCAAAUCUCAUUUCUAAUAUUGUUCGGGACAAUGACAAGAGAACACUUGUUGACUUGUUGAAUAGUGAUGAAUCUCAUUGUUUUCUAA